ensembl:lncRNA
CCAGCCCUUAUUUUGCUUUUUCAAGACAGGGUUUCUCUGUAGCUUUGGGGCCUGGAACUCAGAGAUCUACCUGUCUGUGUGUGUGUGUGUGUGUGUGUGUGUGUGUGUGUGUGUGUGAACAUAAGGCUCUUAGAGAUCAGAGGUGUUGGAGUCCCUGGAAGUGGAAUGACAAGCAGUUGUAAGUUACCUGAUAUGAGUGCUAGGAAUUGAACUUGGGCCCCCUAGAAGAGCACUUUGUGCUCUUCACUCUUAGGCCACCUCUUCAGUCCCUGGAGGCUACUUUAAACAUGUCAUUUUGCAUAUUUGGAUAAUGCCAAUGUCAACUUUCAGGCAAAAGCAAAAUAUCAAAUUUAGGACUAGAAGGAAUGUCUUCCUUUUAGUUCUUAAUAAAUGUACAUUUAGCCUAAUAACAUUCAAACAAUCUGAAAAGAGAAACAAAUAAAAUACAUGGUGGUACCCAUAUAACUCCAGCACUCAGGAAGCUAAGGCAAGAACUGAGAAUUCAAGUCCAGCCUUGGCUACAUAUUAAGUUCAUGGCCAGCCUGGUCUACACACUGAAUCCCAAGACAACUAGGGCUAUGCAAAGGCACCCUGUCUCAAAAAAAAGGGGGGGGGGUGGAGAAAAUGAUGGACAGAAGGGUGGAACAUGGGAGCCACACACAGAAGCAAGUAUCUUCUUCAGAAGUAUCUAAGUAACAAGGAGUAAUUUGGAGACACAUUUCCACUUCUGCCCAUGAAUCUUACUUACAGAGUGACUGACUGGCCUCCAGGAGUUGGCCCAUCAGGUAAAUACAAAAUAUCAACUACUUUAUAAUAACAGCUGCUUUGGUGCCAUGAGAUACUGACCCUACUCAGUCUCCUUAGAUGGCUUCCCUUUUGUGUGCAGCAGCCAUACUCCAGUAAGGCAGGUCUUAUAUAUGCACUAAAGUUUUUGGUGGGGAAGGGAUGGACAGAGGCUCAUGUGUGCUAGGCAAGCACUCUACCCACAGAGCUACAUUCCCAGAUCCCCUCAGAGCUUCUGAAGAAGUUAUUUCUGAAGUAGAAAGGCUGUCUACACAGGUACAGAAGCCAGGGAGGGUAUGCAGGUACACGUGUGUGAAUGUGAAUACACACACAUAUGGUGGCCAGAGGGCUACCUUUGGUGCCAUCUCCCACAGACACUUACUUGAGACAAGGGCUUUUAUUGGCCUCUAACUAGCAAGUACACUCAGUUUCACCUCCUCCAGGAAACCCCAGAGAGCCUGCCUCUCUGCCUCCCUAACACUCCAGCCAAUAGGCUUUCUCUGUGUAGCCAUGGCUGUUUCAGAACUUGCUUUGUAGACCAGGAUAACCUAGAACUCAAAAUCAGCCUGCCUCUUCCUCCCAAGUGCUGGGAUUAAAGAAAUAGGCCAUCACACCUGGCAUCUUGCACUUUUGCCUAUGAGUGUUUGUUUUCAUGAAUUUAUGUGUACCACAUGCAUGCCUGGUACCCACAGAGGUCAGAAAAGGGCCCUGACCUGGAACGAUGGUCCAUUACAAGAGCAGUAGUGCUUUUAAUUACUGAGCAUUGCUCCAGACCCCUAGCAUCUUUUUUUUUAAAACUUGGGUUCUGGGGCCUGAACUCAGGUCUGAGUUGUCUCUACCUCCCAUUGUUUUUAACAUAGGGUCUCACUGUAGUUGAGCUUGGUGUCCAACAAGAUGAGAAUCCACCUACUGAGUAUAAGGGUUACAGGCAGGCGCCACCACACCCAGCUAUUCCCAACUAUUUAAAAUCAAGGAAGGGAAAAAGCUCAUGUGUCAUCCUUAAGCACAGUUAAGCCUUCAUCUAUAACUGAGUAAUAAGUUUCUGCACCUGGUAUAGCACUGCCAAAGGUUUAGCUAGAUGCCUUCACAACAGAGGAUGGAUCACAGGAGUCUAGGGUCCUCCUUCUUGACAAAAGAACCACAGAGAUAAUCCGAAGCCCCCCCUCAGCUCCUAUGACUAUUUAACCUGACUCCUACCAAUUAAAUGUUAUCAUUUCCUAACUCAUUCCUACUCCCACUCUCCAUUCCUGUGCAUGCUAAACAAGUUCUCUCCCACUGAAUUAAAGCCCCAUUUUUUUCUUUUUUGGCUUUUCAAGACAGGGUUACUCUGUGUAACAGCCCUAGCUAUCCUGGAAGUCGUUCUGUAUACUAGGCUGGCCUCGAAUUCAGAGAUCUGCCUGCCUCUGACUCCCAAGUACUGAGAUUAAAGGUUUCCUUUUUUUUUUUUUGAGAUAGUCUUAAUGUGUAGCCGAGGUUAGUCUCCCAAUUUGUGGUAAUCCUCCUGCCUCUGCCUCUCAAGUGCUAGGAUUAGCAUGAGCCUACAAUACAAGGCUCUUCAUCUUUUCUUGAUCAGGGUAAAGUGAACAUGACAAAGGAAACUUUGGGAUGAACAGUGCACUGAUGCUUCAGUUAGAAGUACUUAAACCAGGUGUUUAACUACUGGGCUGACACCUGUAGCCUUACCUAAGGCAAGUGGGCUGCUAUGAAUUUAAGGCUACUGAAGUCUAUGAUGUGAGUUCUAGGUCAUCCUGGACUACAGAGCAAGGCCAUGUCUCAAAAAAAAAAAAAACAAAAAACAAAGAUGCAGUUCACAUUUUGAAUUAAGGGCUCUAAUGGGGCUGGGGAUAAAGCUCAGUUGAGAGUAUGCCUAGAGUGCACAAAGCUCUGGGGUCAAUCCAGUGCCAUCUAAAUGGUACAGGAUGGUGCACUCCUCUAAUUUCAGCACUCAGCACAGGCAGGACCACCAGGAGUUCAAAGGUCAUGGUUGGCUACUGAGCUCAAGGCCAAAAAGAGCUACAGGAGACCCUGUCUUUAAUUAAUCAAUCUUAGUCACGAAUAAAUGCAGUGCUAUACACCUGAGAACACUUGAGGGGCUCAAGCAGAUAGCUCCUGGCCAACUUGGGCUAAACAGAGACCCUGUUUCAAAAUGGCAAGCAAACAACAAUAACAACAAAAACCUAAACACCCAUUAGGAGACCAGAAAGAUGGCUCAUUGUGUAAAGGCACUUGCUGCCAAACCUCACAACAGGAAUUCCCUCCCUGGGAAGCCAGGUGAUGGAGGAACAGACUUUCACAGAUUCUGACCUCCACUUGUGCAAUGUACGCACACAAACAAAGCAAGUAAAUAAUAUUGGGUGUGGCACUACAUGCCUAUAAUCCAAGAACUUGGGAAGUGGAGGAAGGAAGUUCAAGGCCAGCCUAAACUAUACUACAAGGAGUUCAGGGUCAGUCUAGGCUAUCUGAAACCGAUUCAAAAGUACAAGCAGAAAAUCAAGCUGGUAUAGUAGCUCACACCUGCUGCAAUUCUAGGUUGAGACAGAAGGAUUAUCCUGAAUUUGAGUCCAGCCUGGGCUAGAGUUAAGACAUCUCAAAAAACCAAAAGAAUCCUAGUCAAUGGUGAUCAGGUGGGCUUGUAUUUGUUUGUAGGGUUUUAAGAUUUUUUUUUCAAAGCAUCCGAGGGAUGCUGGCAGAAAUUACAACUACGAAGUCAUCACAUAACUUAAAAUUAUUUUAUUUUGAAAUGAGUCUCACUAUGUAGCUUUGGCUGGCCCGGAACUCUCUAUGUAGACCAGGCUGGCCUCGAAUUCUUAAGAGACCCACCACAUCCAGCUAGAAGGACUUUUAUUAAUACAAGGAGCAGUCCGUCAACGCUGAAGAAACUUUCAUGGGUCCUACAGUUAAAGCAAAGGCCUAGGAAUUAGACCAUCUAUAACUAGCAGUAAAAUUCAUUACAAGGUACCCACAGAUACCUAUGGCUAGUUAACGACCUACUCCAGAGCCUAUCUGGACACCAUUUUAACUGACAGCUGAGCUACAAAGGUAUCAUUUGAAGGUGUAGCCUGGAAGUCUCUAGGGAACAAGAUGUUUAAUCUGCAAUUCAGUAAAAGAAUAUCACGUCAAACACCAGCCUUUUAAAUGCUUUAACUGCUAUAAUUUUAAGUUGCAAGUUUAUUCUUUCAAUGAACGUCUCCCCUAUAACCCACAUACAGGAACUAGAUCAAAACUGCCAUUUCUACUUAAGUACCUUCCACGUUCUAAAGAAGAAAUGGCUCUAGUAACGAUGGGACACUGGCACAGAAAAUACUCUUUUUAGUUUGUGGAACAGGACUUUAAACGGGACAUUGUGUAGGCUUACAGAGAUCACACUGGAAUUAGCUCUCCUUUCCCCUUGUAGCACAGCCAUUUCGUCCCUAAGUUUACGGCUCGGAUUUCAAAACGCAAACAGAUGUUUUUGAAGUAUCCGAAAUGGGCCGCUCCAUUUCUAUUACUGUACCAUGGUGACUCUGAAUUAUUUUCUGUUCCGAACCUGCAAAGGGCAGAACCCCAUCCCUUUGUCGUAAAAUUUCCAAGUGGGGCAGCACACUUUAGGAGUUUCCAAAAGUGGCUGGUGACGUUCGAGGCCAGGCCAUUGGGGGAGUCGGGGCUCGAUGGGAGCAAUCUUGAGGGCAAGAGAGCUCAGAGAUUUCCAAGCCCUGAGCUCGAGCUUUCCACGUGCCCCAUCUAGUCGGUCCCAGGGGAGUUGGUGGUUGCUAUAGUAGUUAGAGGGCUGUUGCUUUUCGCAGCCCCGAGAGGUGGGACGAUGGACUUGGUGCAUGGGGGGGGGGGGGAGAGGUGGGUGCACUGCGGCUGGGCGCCCUCCGAGCCUCCAGCUGACUAGCACCGAGGGAGGCAUGAGGCUACGGCUGCAACCUCGGCCCGAACCCGCGAGCCAGCGCCUCCAACUGGCGUCGCGCCCACCUCGUCCUUCCGAUGGGGGCCAGCCACGCCGGGCCUCGCCGCCAUACCCAGACGAAUGGGGGUGGGGAGAGGCCUUGGCAGAGCUUGGCCUCAGGAUCCGCGUCCCGGUGGAAGCUCAGCAAAGGGGAAGCCGUCCUAUUGGCCUCUCCUCUGUCGGGGUCACGGGAAAUACGCGGUAAUCACCCAAAACCCCGCUCUCAAAGGCGAGACUGCGGGGCCGCCGGGACGGUUUGAGGACUGGGCUCGGCCGGGGAGACACCAACCUUCACCCUCCGCGGCCCCCAACCCAACUCCCCGCCGUCUCCCGGCGCCGCCACUUCAGGCAGCCCACUCGGCCCGGCCUCUCCCCGCGCCCGGACCACCCCCCAUGGGGUGCUCUCACUGCGCAGCGAGUCCCUCCGCUGCCUCCUCCCAGCCCAAAAUGGCGGCGGCGGCUACCGGGCUGCUCGUCGCCUUCCUCAAGGCUAGGGAUCACUCCGCGCGUAAGCCCCGCCCCUCUCAGCCGGAUCUAUUUUCCUCCCUGGUAAAGGCUAACGCCAUCAAUGAACUCUUUAAUUGAGUUCUGACAGGGCGGGUCCAGUUGUGCUUCCGCACAGCUAGUUGUUGACAAAAGUGAGAAGAUUGGCAGACAAGUGACCCAAUCAAAGAAGAGAUCGGUGAGCGCGGGACGUCCACGCAAAAGCGGAUAGGUUUCGGUGUCCCUGGGUAAUGGUUGUUGACGUAAGGGAGCUUGAAGGUAUCCUGGGCAGCUUUCCUAGAGUGGAAGAACUACAACCCCC